ACGCUCGACACCUACAGGAGGCAGCAGUGGGGAAUAUUGCACAAUGGAGGAAACUCUGAUGCAGCGAUGCCGCGUGAGGGAAGAAGGUUUUCGGAUUGUAAACCUCUGUCUUUGGGGACGAUAAUGACGGUACCCAAGGAGGAAGCUCCGGCUAACUACGUGCCAGCAGCCGCGGUAAUCUGAGCGGCUGGCAAGGC
rnacentral:rRNA from 1 species